UACAGAGGGGGCAAGCGUUGUUCGGAAUUACUGGGCGUAAAGGGCGCGUAGGCGGCCUUCUAAGUCGAACGUGAAAUCCCUGGGCUCAACCCAGGAACUGCGUCCGAUACUGGAAGGCUUGAAUCCGGGAGAGGGAUGCGGAAUUCCAGGUGUAGCGGUGAAAUGCGUAGAUAUCCGGAGGAACACCGGUGGCGAAGGCGGCAUCCUGGACCGGUAUUGACGCUGAGGCGCGAAAGCCAGGGGAGCAAACGGG
rnacentral:rRNA from 1 species